CCAGACUCCUACGGGAGGCAGCAGUGGGGAAUAUUGGACAAUGGGGGGAACCCUGAUCCAGCGACGCCGCGUGAGUGAAGAAGUAUUUCGGUAUGUAAAGCUCUAUCAGCAGGGAAGAAAGAAAUGACGGUACCUGACUAAGAAGCCCCGGCUAACUACGUGCCAGCAGCCGCGGUAAUACGUAGGGGGCAAGCGUUAUCCGGAUUUACUGGGUGUAAAGGGAGCGUAGACGGCGAUGCAAGUCUGAAGUGAAAGGCGGGGGCCCAACCCCCGGACUGCUUUGGAAACUGUAUGGCUGGAGUGCAGGAGAGGUAAGUGGAAUUCCUAGUGUAGCGGUGAAAUGCGUAGAUAUAAGGAAGAACACCAGUGGCGAAGGCGGAUGACUGGACGGCAACUGACGGUGAGGCGCGAAAGCGUGGGGAGCAAACAGGAUUAGAUACCCGAGUA
rnacentral:rRNA from 1 species